rnacentral:rRNA from 1 species
GACGAACGCUGGCGGCGUGCCUAAUACAUGCAAGUAGAACGCUGAAGGAGGAGCUUGCUUCUCUGGAUGAGUUGCGAACGGGUGAGUAACGCGUAGGUAACCUGCCUGGUAGCGGGGGAUAACUAUUGGAAACGAUAGCUAAUACCGCAUAACAGUAGAUAUCGCAUGAUAGCUGCUUGAAAGGUGCAAUUGCACCACUACCAGAUGGACCUGCGUUGUAUUAGCUAGUUGGUGGGGUAACGGCUCACCAAGGCAACGAUACAUAGCCGACCUGAGAGGGUGAUCGGCCACACUGGGACUGAGACACGGCCCAGACUCCUACGGGAGGCAGCAGUAGGGAAUCUUCGGCAAUGGACGGAAGUCUGACCGAGCAACGCCGCGUGAGUGAAGAAGGUUUUCGGAUCGUAAAGCUCUGUUGUAAGAGAAGAACGAGUGUGAGAGUGGAAAGUUCACACUGUGACGGUAUCUUACCAGAAAGGGACGGCUAACUACGUGCCAGCAGCCGCGGUAAUACGUAGGUCCCGAGCGUUGUCCGGAUUUAUUGGGCGUAAAGCGAGCGCAGGCGGUUAGAUAAGUCUGAAGUUAAAGGCUGUGGCUUAACCAUAGUACGCUUUGGAAACUGUUUAACUUGAGUGCAAGAGGGGAGAGUGGAAUUCCAUGUGUAGCGGUGAAAUGCGUAGAUAUAUGGAGGAACACCGGUGGCGAAAGCGGCUCUCUGGCUUGUAACUGACGCUGAGGCUCGAAAGCGUGGGAGCAAACAGG